rnacentral:rRNA from 1 species
UACAGAGGAUGCAAGCGUUAUCCGGAAUGAUUGGGCGUAAAGCGUCUGUAGGUGGCUUUUUAAGUCCGCCGUCAAAUCCCAGGGCUCAACUCUGGACAGGCGGUGGAAACUACCAAGCUGGAGUACGGUAGGGGCAGAGGGAAUUUCCGGUGGAGCGGUGAAAUGACGUGAGAUAUCGUAAGGAAGACCGAGUGGCGGAAGGCGGGAUCGUCUAGUACGGUACGUGACGCUGAGACGCGAAAGCGUGGGGAGCGAACGAGG